CCUACGGGAGGCUGCAGUGAGGAAUAUUGGUCAAUGGGCGCAAGCCUGAACCAGCCAAGUAGCGUGAAGGAUGACUGCUCUACGGGUUGUAAACUUCUUUUAUAAAGGAAUAAAGUGAGGCACGUGUGCCUUUUUGUAUGUACUUUAUGAUUAAGGAUCGGCUAACUCCGUGCCAGCAGCCGCGGUAAUACGGAGGGUCCGAGCGUUAUCCGGAUUUAGUGGGUUUAAAGGGAGCGUAGAUGGGUUUUUAAGUCAGUUGUGAAAGUUUGCGGCUCAACCGUUAGAUUGCAAUUGAUACUGGCGGCCUUGAGUACAGUUGAGGUAGGCGGAAUUCGUGGUGUAGCGGUGAAAUGCUUAGAUAUCACGAAGAACUCCGAUGGCGAAGGCAGCUUACUAAACUGCCACUGACAUUGAUGCUCGAAAGUGUGGGUAUCAAACAGGAUUAGAUACCCCGGUAGUC
rnacentral:rRNA from 1 species